rnacentral:rRNA from 1 species
UACGUAGGGGGCAAGCGUUGUCCGGAUUUAUUGGGCGUAAAGAGCGUGUAGGCGGCCAGAUAGGCCCGUUGUGAAAACUGGAGGCUUAACCUCCAGCUGUCGAUGGAAACCAUCUGGCUAGAGUCCGGAAGAGGAGAGUGGAAUUCCUGGUGUAGCGGUGAAAUGCGCAGAUAUCAGGAAGAACACCCGUGGCGAAGGCGGCUCUCUGGGACGGUACUGACGCUGAGACGCGAAAGCGUGGGGAGCGAACAGG